UACAGAGGGUGCAAGCGUUGUUCGGAAUUAUUGGGCGUAAAGAGCGUGUAGGCGGUUAUGCAGGUCCGCUGUGAAAACUGGAGGCUUAACCUCCAGACGUCGGUGGAAACCGUAUGACUAGAGUCCGGAAGAGGAGAGUGGAAUUCCUGGUGUAGCGGUGAAAUGCGCAGAUAUCAGGAAGAACACCCGUGGCGAGUGGCAGCACUCUGGGACGGUACUGACGCUGAGACGCGAAAGCGUGGGGAGCGAACAGG
rnacentral:rRNA from 1 species